rnacentral:rRNA from 1 species
GAUGAACGCUGGCGGCGUGCUUAACACAUGCAAGUCGAACGAUGAAGCCCAGCUUGCUGGGUGAUUAGUGGCGAACGGGUGAGUAACACGUGAGUAACCUGCCCUUAACUCUGGGAUAAGCCUGGGAAACUGGGUCUAAUACCGGAUAGGAGCGUCCACCGCAUGGUGGGUGUUGGAAAGAUUUAUCGGUUUUGGAUGGACUCGCGGCCUAUCAGCUUGUUGGUGGGGUAAUGGCUCACCAAGGCGACGACGGGUAGCCGGCCUGAGAGGGUGACCGGCCACACUGGGACUGAGACACGGCCCAGACUCCUACGGGAGGCAGCAGUGGGGAAUAUUGCACAAUGGGCGCAAGCCUGAUGCAGCGACGCCGCGUGAGGGAUGACGGCCUUCGGGUUGUAAACCUCUUUCAGUAGGGAAGAAGCGAAAGUGACGGUACCUGCAGAAGAAGCACCGGCUAACUACGUG